UAUUAUUAUUAUUAUUAUUAUUAUUAUUAAUGGACCGAACUCUAAUGAAACUGAUGAGUUGGGGCUCAAUCACACAUAACUUCCUAUCAGAUAUAAAGUGUAUUAUACACCAAUCAGCCAUAACAUUAAAACCACUGACAUGUCAGUAAGUGAACAGUCAGUUCUUGAAGUUGACGUGUUGGAAGCAGGAAAAAUGGGCAAGUGUAAGGAUCUGAGUGACUUUGACAAGGUUGUGAUGUCUAGACGUCUGGGUCAGAACGUCUCCAAAACAGCGGUGUUGUGGGGUGUUCCCGGUAUGCAGUGGUCAGAACCUACUAAAAGUGGUCCGAGGAAGGAGAACCGGAGAACCGGCGAAGGGUCACGGACGCCCAAGUCUCAGUGAUGCGUCCGGUCCGAUCCCACAGAAGAUCUACUGCAGCACAAACUGCUGGAAAAGUCGAUGCUGGUUCUGAUCGAAAGGAGUCGGAACACACAGAGCGUCACAGCUUGCUGCGUCUGGAGACGUGUAGCUGCAGAGCGGUCAGAGCGCCCAUGCUGACCCCCUGUACUCCACCGAAAUCUCCUACAAUGGCCAUCAGAACUGGACCACGGAGCGAUGGAAGAAGGCGUCCUGGUCUGAUGAAUCAGGUGUUCUUUUACAUCACGUGGACGGUCAGAUAUCACAGCACACCUUCAGAGGUCUUGUGGAGUCCAUGCCUCGACGGGUCGGAGCUGUUUGGUGGAACAAGGAGAGGGGAACCUACACAAUAUUAAGCAGGUGGUCUUAAUGUUAUGGCUGAUUUGAUGUAUAGUGUAGAGCAGGAAACGCUUCGUUCCUAUGUGUAGUGUACUAAUCUGGGGAUUUAUUCAGCUCGUGCUGCAGAGCUGCGCUCUGAUUGGACCGCUGCAUGUGACAUGUUUUAUAAGGCGCGGCGAUUCAACAGUGUUGCCAGACCGCUAUAAAUAACAUCAUUAAAUCUUUUGUUCAAUAUAAACUAAAUAUUGUAUGUAUAUGAUGUAUGAAGUUUUACUGCACGGGUAUUUGGUGCGUUUACAGAUAGUUAGACUACAGAGUAAAAUUUAAUUUAGAUUUAUACUCGGGUUUUGGAAGUGUAUUCACUGUCAGGGGUUAGUAUUCAUCUGGCAACCCGGACCCUGCAUUCCGAACCCCCCCCCCCCCCCCCCCCCCCCCCCCCCCCCGUGUCGUUCAACAAACCUGAGAGAAUAACUUUCUGCGGUGUCUUCACUACUGUUCAGCGUCUCAGGAGUCUCAGGAUGGUGGGCAAACAUGUGAGGAGAAUGGAUGAAGGUCUGAUGAUGAUGCAGGAGCUGGAGGAUCGCCUGAAGGAGCAGAUCGACAAACUGGAACACGUCCGCCUGGCUGCAGCAGAGCUGAAAGAAAACCUGUCUGGGAACGGUGGAGAUCUGCGUCAGUCCAUCGCUGAACACGUGGACUGGCUGAAUCAGCUAACGGAGCGCGUGGAAACACUCCAGAUGAAUACGUCCGUCUUCGUCCAGACGAACUCCAGGCCUCGAGUCUUCAGAGGGAAACAGCAGAGCUUCCGAAAUCCCACCCACUUCGGGCGUGGCCACCUGGUCGACGACGCUCAGUCGGAAUUCGGUUGGUCUCCGAUACGUACGAGGCGUAACAGCGACGCCGCGUCCGAGAUGUCGUGCGCCUGGUGAGCGUAAAACCCGCUGUUCCGUUUCUCAUGACGUGUCGUCACUUCUUAUAUUUAUACACCCGCUCUAUACGUCUGGGGUUUUUUCUUUAAAGUGAACAAAUGUACUACUGUGUUGUUGUUUUUUGUAUAUGUUUUGUAAUACGCAAAUAAAGAAACACUUUCCUGUCAUUCAUAAUUCUACUUCGAGUCAUUUCAAGACAGAAUACACG
ensembl:lncRNA